rnacentral:lncRNA from 1 species
AUUUUAAAUUAUUAUUAUUGUGAGUUGCUACCCUAUAGCGAAAAGACUAUCGCGUGCAAAGGGAUAAAAUGUGUACGUACAGAUCGCUCGAUGUUUUUGCAAAAUGUUGCCACUAGCAAUGCGUAAUCGAUGGGAAAUUGGCAGUCUGUUGACUUAGAGAAGCCAAUCGGUCGCAUGCGUUCGUGUUUUUUUCAUUGAAGGGAGUAAUGGAAGUUAAAUUAUUAAAAUAGCACGUUUUGAACGCCCAGUGUAAUUUGCCCAGAAAGAGGGGGAAGAAAUAUACGCCUUCUUUUUUACGCUGUUGCAAGCGCGACUGUAAAUUUUCAAACGGUUCAUCGAACACCCUUAUUGUCGUCAGUAAUGUCGAGUAUCACAUUAUGAAUGCUUUGUUACACGAGAACUUUUCAUGAGUGAAGAUAAUCAGAAAAUAAAAAUUACAAAAAGAUAUCUUUGUCUAUUAAAAGACACGCAAAGUAGUUUCAUCCCAAGCAUGUACAUCGUUUUUUUCGGAAAAUUCUGUGAAUCCCUGGAGAUCAAUAUUGUCAUGCGGGAAUACUUGCCGCAAAAGGAAAUUAUUAAUGAACACUUUUUAACUACGAGAAAAUAUUUUCGUAAUAAAAGUGAAUUAGCCUAUAUUAUCUUAAUUUCAAUUGGGAAUAAUAUUUUUUUAACGUGCGGAUUCUGAAGAAUCUUUUUGCACAAUAGAAUAUUAUGAUUGCUAUGUCUGGUAACAAAGAAACUUUCAGUUUAACUCGAUAUAACGUACAAUACGUUUCAAACUUUUUCAUAGUUUCAAACUAUGAUAUAUUGCGAAUUAUAGAUUAAACAUUAUAGAACAUCAAUACAUCACUCUGAGUAGGAUGUUGCUGUACUCGCAAGCAGCUGUGACGAACUAUUUCUGAGAUCAAAUGAGAAAAAGAAUUUCUUCACGCUUUUCGACUCUGCUAUAAGUAGACAUAUUAUCUUUUUCUUCUAUUUUCUAAAUCGUCGAGAGAAAAUGAUAUAUGCAUGCAGACAAUUGGUGCAAUUAUGAAAAUUGAUCCAUACGUGCAAGUAAUACAGCUUCCCACGGUGAAAAUAACUGACUAUAUUCCAAAUACUUUGGUCAAUAUUGAAAAUAACGCAUGCGCAAUAAUGAUUUUCUAUGACCAAUUGUUCUUCUAGUCUCAGUAUUGUUUAAGCAACGGAUCGGAAUGAUUAAAUAAAAUCAAUUAAAAAAUUACUUACUCGAAAGAGAGUACAGCUUAAAGAUAUUACACCAAUUACGAUUAAAGGAAAGUACCACAGAUGAAAAGAAAAGAGAAUAAUUAUUUUGAAUAAAUAAGCGUUGCUCUCCACAAAUCUUCUUUGCUACUUUGUCGUCAUUUUAUACUCGUGACCGCAUGGCAUGCAUGACAGUAAAAUAUGACACAGCCGAAGUUAUAAGCUAGAAGAAUUGAUUUUUGCAUAAUUAAGAACAAUUUUUGGACUGGUAAUGGCGCUACAUACCAAAGAGUAUCAUAUCUAAAAUUUAAAUAGACAAAACAUUAAUGUUUCUACUAAAGGUCAAAUUUUAAGAGACGUGUGUAUAAGACAUUAACUGAGAAAAUAUAACCGCAGCUUAUGCCACAUACACGUGAUGAUACAUAAAUAAGUAUUAGUAUAAAGUAAAGGAACGAAGUAAACGAACUAAAUGAACGAUAAGGUAAUAAAGAAAUGAAAUGACUGAUACAAAGUUACAUUGUAAAACACAAGCAAGUAUUUAUAUAUUAUCAUAAUACUUACAUAGAUUCUAAUACUUCUGCACUGUGUUCGAUAUAAGAUUGCCCAAGAAAAUUUGCCACGAACAUAUAUGCGAUACAGCUAAAGAACAUCAGGCAGGACAGGAAAAUCUCAAAGAAGUCAUUGAACAGUAUUAUAGCAUUAUAUAGCUACAAAAAAUACAUUAUAUGCUAUGUUAUAUGUGAUUACAUAUAGUAUAAAGUAAUAUUGUAUAUAAUGCAACUAAUAAUAUAUAAGAUCAGAAGCGCACAUACUUUACAGAAGCCUUAAAAAAUAAAAAAAUAAUUCCAGUGCCAUGGAUUUGUGAGAAAAUGUACAAUUCUCGGUAAUAAGUUUUGCUUUAAAUACUAUUUAAGAAAAUGAACAGGUCGAUAUCACUAACAAUAAUUAACAUCACCGAAAAA